GUUAAGUUUCGCGUUAGACGCAAAGUAAAGACAUUCUAGGACAAUCAACGUGGUGUGUGAAAGAGGAGCAGUUCCCCGCAAACAGGGGGAUCCGCCUCGGGUGCACAGGUGUGUGUAGAUAUACAGAGUAUAUUGGUAUUCUGUAAUGAUCCUUCCGCAGGUUCACCUACGGAAA
rnacentral:misc_RNA from 1 species